rnacentral:ncRNA from 2 species
UACUGAAAAGGUGAUGGAGUUCGCCUAAAAUGUGAUAUUCGCUGAUGACUCCUAUUUAAAU